rnacentral:rRNA from 1 species
AGCGAACGCUGGCGGCGUGCCUAACACAUGCAAGUCGAACGGGAAAGGGAGCAAUCCCAAGUAAAGUGGCGUACGGGUGAGUAACACGUAGGUAAUCUACCCCAGAAUCUGGAAUAACCGGCCGAAAGGCUGGCUAAUACAGGAUAGAGCGACGGAAUCCGCAACUGGGUUUUUCGGGAAAGGGAGCCUGUAAAAAGGCUUUCGUUCUGGGAUGAGCCUGCGUCCCAUCAGCUAGUUGGUGAGGUAAAAGCUUACCAAGGCAAUGACGGGUAGCUGGUCUGAGAGGACGGGCAGCCAGACUGGGAGUGUGACACGGUCCAGUCGCCUACGGGUGGCAGCCGUACUGAAUCUUGCGCAAUGAGCGAGAGUCUGAGGCAGCAGCGCCGCGUGAGUAAAGAAGGCCGUCGGGUUGUGGAGCUCUGUCGAGUGGGAGGAAAAUGCUUGGAGUUCACAGCUACAGGGACUGACGGUACCACGAAAGGAAGCACCGGCUAACUCCGUG